rnacentral:lncRNA from 1 species
UCGAACCCUGAACAGUUUGGGGUAAGUAUGUACACAACAUUCAAGCUAGACUUCAUUUUUGAUGAAAUAAAAAAAAUGUUGAAUUUCGGACCCUUUGGGCCUCAAUGUGGACCAUUUCGAUAACUUGGCCCAAAAUACCAAAAUCCCAAAUUUAAAAACACGGUAAGAUUCAGCAUUCCAAAGUACCCCAAAUAUUCAACUGUUGUUGAAAUCCAAAAGAAUUUAUUUCUUGACAGUUUGGACCCCACAAACUUGUUAAAUGGGCCAAAAAUUAAAAAAAUAAUAAUAAACACAAUCAUGUAUGGAUUCAGCCUACCAAAGAACCUCAAAUUUUAUUUUGGACCCUGUGGGCCAAUUUAAAACCGGACCCA